rnacentral:lncRNA from 1 species
GCAUAGGUUUAGAGCCGAAGAAUGCAGGGAUGGAGCCAGAUUCCAACAUCAGCAGUGGUGAUGCACAGCAUGAUUUUAUAUGGGAUGUACGGGCAUUGGAGAGUCAUGGCUCUAAGAAGAUUGUGUCAGAUGGUUCAUUUGCAGCAAAAGAAGAUCUGAAUACCUAUGAGGAGAUGAGGUAAGCCUUGGAUGAGAUAGGU